CGGAUUUUUAAUAAACUUGUAUAGGCUUUUAUUAUAAACUUCCUUACUUUUGUAUGAACUUUUGUUAUAGAUUCAAAUAUAUUUGCAUAGACUUCCCAAUACUAUUUUCUUUUAUCACUCUUUCUUCCCAACACUAUUUUCUUUAAACUAUCUUGACCUAGCCAUUAGUCAACCAUCCUUUUUUUUUCUUUUUCUUUUUUCCCAAAUUAUUCCUCUACUUGUGUGCACAACAAUGAAUUUCCCUUUGAAAUUUCCACGAGUUGGAAACUUUAUUCAAACCUAAACAAUGAAUUUCAUACGUAAACAAUGAUCCCUUUGAAAUUUCUACGAGUUGGAAACUUUCAUACCUAA
rnacentral:lncRNA from 1 species